GAUGAACGCUGACAGAAUGCUUAACACAUGCAAGUCCACUUGAAUUUGGGUUUUUAACUUAGGUUUGGGUGGCGGACGGGUGAGUAACGCGUAAAGAACUUGCCUCACAGCUAGGGACAACAUUUGGAAACGAAUGCUAAUACCUAAUAUUAUGAUAAUAGGGCAUCCUAUAAUUAUGAAAGCUAUAAGCGCUGUGAGAGAGCUUUGCGUCCCAUUAGCUAGUUUGAGAGGUAACGGCUCACCAAGGCGAUGAUGGGUAGCCGGUCUGAGAGGGUGAUCGGCCACAAGGGGACUGAGACACGGCCCUUACUCCUACGGGAGGCAGCAGUGGGGAAUAUUGGACAAUGGACCGAGAGUCUGAUCCAGCAAUUCUGUGUGCACGAUGAAGUUUUUCGGAAUGUAAAGUGCUUUCAGUUGGGAAGAAACAAAUGACGGUACCAACAGAAGAAGUGACGGCUAAAUACGUG
rnacentral:rRNA from 1 species